rnacentral:rRNA from 1 species
AGAGUUCGAUCCUGGCUUAGGAUGAACGCUGACAGCAUAUUUAACACAUGCAAAUCAGAUGGGAAACACGAGAAAUGGUGUUUCCAGUGGCGGACGGGUGAGUAACGCAUAAGAACCUGCCCUUGGGAGGGGAACAACAGAUGGAAACGACUGCUAAUACCCCGUAGGCUGAGGAGCAAAAGGAGGAAUCCGCCCGAGGAGGGGCUCACGUCUGAUUAGCUAGUUGGUGAGGCAAUAGCUUACCAAGGCAAUGAUCAGUAGCUAGUUCGAGAGGAUGAUCAGCCACACUAGGACUGAGACACAGCCCAGACUCCUACGAGAGGCAGCAGUGGGGAAUUUUAUGCAAUGAGCGAAAGCCUGACAGAGCAAUGCCGUAUGGAGGUAGAAGGCCCAUGGUUCGUGCAGUUCUUUUCACAGAGAAGAAGCAAUGACGGUAUCGGGGAAUAAGCAUUGGCUAACUCUGUGCCAGCAGCCAUAGUAAUACAGAGGAUGCAAGCGUUAUCCAGAAUGAUUGGGUGUAAAGCGUCUGUAGGUAGCUUUUUAAGUCUGUUUUCAAAUCUCAGGGCUCAAACCUGGACAGGUGGUGGAAACUACCAACCUGGAGUACGGUAGGGGCAGAGGGAAUUUAAGGUGGAGCGAUGAAAUGCAUAGAGAUCGAAAAGAACACCAAUGGCGUAAGCACUCUGCUGGGCCAACACUGACACUGAGAGACGAAAGCUAGGGAAGCGAAUAGGAUUAGAUACCCCAGUAAUCCUAGCCACAAACGAUGGAUACUAGGCAUUGUGCGAAUCAACCCGUGCAGUGCUGUAGCUAACACGUUAAGUAUCUCGCCUGGGGAGUACAUUUGGAAAAAUGAAACUCAAAGGAAUUGAUGGGGGCCCGCACAAGCGAUGGAGCAUGUGGUUUAAUUCGAUGCAAAGCAAAGAACCUUACCAGGGCUUGAUAUGCAGCGAAUCCUCUUGAAAGAGAGGAGUGCCUUCGGGAACGCAGACACAGGUGGUGCAUGACUGUCGUUAGCUCGUGCCGUAAUAUGUUGGGUUAAGUCCCAUAAUGAGUGAAACCAUCGUGUUUAGUUACCAUCGUUGAGUUUGGAACCCUGAACAGACUGCCAGUGAUAAGCCGGAGGAAGGUGAGGAUGACAUCAAGUCAUCAUGCCCCUUAUGCCCUGGGCGAUACACAUGCUAUAAUGGCCAGGACAAAGGGCCGCGAUCCCGAGAGGGUGAGCUAACCCCAAAAACCCAUCCUCAAUUCAGAUUGCAGGCUGCAACUAGCCUGCAUAAAGUCAAAAUCACUAGUAAUCGCCGGUCAGGCAGUGAAUUUGUUCCUGGGCCUUGUACACACUGCCCGUCACACUAUGGGAACUAGCUAUGCCCAAAGUCGUUACCUUAACCGCAAGGAGGGGGAUACCGAAGGCAGGGCUAGUGACUGGAGUGAAGUCGUAACAAGGUAGACGUACUCGAAGGUGCGGCUG